UGGAUGGUGGUGGUUGGCAGGCUCCGUGCUCGUGCAUCGAACUGCCGACGCUCCAUCUGUUUCAAUCUUUCCCCAUCGAAGCUCUUUCCUUGGGGGUUCGUGUGGUAUCCUGUGUUGCUUACCAAUGAAAUGGAAUUCGAUGGUUUUGUUUCGUGGAUCCGCCUUGCGCCCUUUUGGGGUUGCGGGGUGGACRUGAGGCGAGCACUGUGUUCCCAACGUGCCUACUGCAUUAGCAUAUGGUUGUUGUGGCCCAUGGUGGCUUUGCUUGUUCUCUCGGAUGCGGAAAACUAUGCGUGGGYGUGAGGUCUAGGCUUCAAAUCGUCCAAGCACACUGUCCCUUGACUCGAACGACUGCCGCACUCGUUUUGAUCUCUCCGACCAAGGCCUCGUUAUGGGGCUUACUGGACGAGGAGCGAUCAUGCGGGUGUCGGCGUCAAAGAGGAAAGCUAC
rnacentral:misc_RNA from 1 species